UACGAAGGGGGCUAGCGUUGUUCGGAAUUACUGGGCGUAAAGCGCACGUAGGCGGACUACUAAGUCAGGGGUGAAAUCCCGGGGCUCAACCCCGGAACUGCCUUUGAUACUGGGGAUCUCGAGUCCGGGAGAGGUGAGUGGAACUGCGAGUGUAGAGGUGAAAUUCGUAGAUAUUCGCAAGAACACCAGUGGCGAAGGCGGCUCACUGGCCCGGAACUGACGCUGAGGUGCGAAAGCGUGGGGAGCAAACAGG
rnacentral:rRNA from 1 species